UUAAGUUCAGCGGGUAUCCCUACCUGAUCCGAGGUCAAAAUAAAAAGUAUGCUUAUGGAUGCCCCCCCUCGCCGCAAGAGACGCAAUUCUGCUGCGCUCAAAGCCGCUGGAGUGGCUGCCAAUAGUUUCGAGGCGAGUCCGCGGGGGACAGACGCCCAACACCGAGCUGUGCUUGAAGGUGAAAAUGACGCUCGAACAGG
rnacentral:misc_RNA from 1 species